GAUCUUACUGUCUCCCCGCUCCAAUCAGUGAAACUGAUCUUCCCGUGAAGAAGCGGGAAUAUACCUAUAAGACGAGAAGACCCCAUGGAGCUUUAAAUCCAACAGCACCUAUUACCCAUAUAUCUUUAUAUUUUUUUAGCAAAUGCUCGUUCGGUUUUAGGUUGGGGUGACCAUGGAGUAAAAAAUAACCUCCACGAAAAAAGGCAUAAAACCCUUAUCAAAGAGCCACAUCUCUAUGAAUUAGUAAACUAAUUUCUGAUGAUCCGAUAUUCGAUCAACGAACCAAGUUACCC
rnacentral:rRNA from 1 species